GAAGGCUGGCAGGCUAAACCCAUAAGACUGGAAGAAAAUGUUCAGAUGAAGGGAGCUGGCAAAGCCUUGCAGCUGAUCAUUCCAAGGCAAGAGGCCAGAAACACAAACCUCAGCUCCAGGAAGAGGGCUAAGGAGGAAUUGCCAUUUGGAGUAGGGAAAUAUUGACUGUCCUAAAGAUGAGAGACAGAGGAAUAAAUCAAACCACAGCCUAGCUACUGUGGAGAGGGAGGAGAGGUCUUUGUAGAUGGCUAAGAAGAGGCUGUAAAACCACAGAUCCAGCUAAAGGGAAACUCGCUUUCCAGCAGAAGCUCACUUCAUCUCUGCAAAUCACUUUCAUAACAUGGAAAGAUUUCAGAUAGUUAGAUUCCAAAAAAAUAAUACUCUAUAAAUAAAUAUCCUCAUAAAAUUGCAA